CCUCAUGUUUUUAAUGUUUAGUAUGGUGUUCGGGCCUAUCUGAUGCUCACAAAUAAAAUGGAGUUGGAGUAAAAAUAUAAAAGGAUAUGCUUAUGCGUUCUUCGAUGGAACCGUAGAAAAUAGAUCAUAACCGACUUAUUAUUAAGUUUGUGCGAAACGCAAUAUUACGUACGAAAAUAAAUAUGAUAUUUUUUUAUUGUACUUUCUCGUCGUACGUAAUGCAAUAUUUUCGUAAUUCGAAACGAAGCCUAAAUACACCCCCACUGGUAGGACCAGUUAGAAAGAUAUAAUUAAUUAUAGGUAAAAUACUUAACUCUCGUUAGUGAAUGAGAUAAUUUAACCUUUUUACCUCUCUUAUACUUAUUUGAGAUGGUGGAAAGAAAGAAGAUGACCCGUGGAGAUUUUUGGAAAGAUGUUUCUGCAUCGUUUUGCCGGUUGGGACUUUUUGAGGGAUAUAUCUAUGAUGGCAAAAAUAUCGUUUUACUUAUCUUUUAUUUAAAAAUAAACAAUGCUCUAGUGGUAAUAAACCAGAAAAAUAAAUAUGAAUAUUACUGGACUUUUGUAAAAAUAAAUAUAAAAAAUUGAACUUUGUAGGAAUAUAAUUGUUAGUCGAUAUGUUUACAGGGAGCUGUAUGAAAUUAAUCCUUUUUUAUUAAUAGGCUUUAAAAAAUAUGAAUAAUUACCUCAAAACUUCUCAACUAUUUUAUAUACUCCUUUUUUUUUUUGUUUCAAAUAUUUUCUUAGUAAUGCUGAGGCCUGAGGGAUGCAAACAGAAUGGAUCAUGGGGUAGGAGGGAUUUCUUAUCUCCCACUCCAUUUUUUGUAGAUGGUGGUGGAUUCGGGGAAGUUUAAUUUAAUCGUAUAUUCAACCCCCACUAAUCGUUUCAUUUGGGAUAGAUCGUGGCGGGAGCUGGAUCGGGGUGGAUCAAAAAGAGAAAAGGGUAUCCCACUUUCUACUCUAUUUACUUGGCGGAUCGGGCCGGAUAGAUCGUGGCAGGAGCUAGAUCGGGGUGGAUCAAAGAGAGAAAAGGGCAUCCCACUUUCUACUCCAUUUACUUGGCGGAUCGGGCCGGAUUAUAGUUUUCUAUAUUUUUGAUUCCACUUACCGCCCCAUUCAGGAUGAAUCAGAUGGAGCUUCACCAAACCAGGUCCAUUUGCAUUUCUAGCAACAUUGCAACUUUUGUUCUAUACUUAAACACUUUAAUCACCAAAUUUUUCUAUAUGUUGCCAUUUAUCUUUUAGUUUUUUUAAAAACAACAUAUUUUCUUAUAAAACAAUCAAUUUUUACUCCAUUAAAAAUAGCGUAGAGAGGACAAAAAUAUGGUAGGCAUCUGUCCCCAAACAACUUGUUUGGGGACAGAGCCGAUGAGCGCUGCAUGGUGUACGUGCGUCUAUUGCAAUCACCCCCUUUCCACCGGCUUCUCUCUCUCUCUCUCUCUCUAAAAAAUUGGAGCCCACAUUUUUUUUUUUUGCCGUUUCCGAGGGUCGCGACGACUCCGCCCCCAAACAAGUUGUUUGGAGGCAGAUGCCCACCAAAUUUUUGUUCGUAAAGAGGUCACUUGAGUAUGAGCAAUUAAAUUGAAGUGUAUAAAUAUGUUUAGAUAAAUAAUUUAUAGAACUUUUGUUUUCGUUUUUGGUUCAGUUUAUAAAAGCUAAUUAAACGAAAAUUAUCAAAAAUUAGAAACGAAAACAAGUCAAAUAUAGAUUGGCUUGUGAUCAAUCAAAUAUUGAUAUUUAUAUCUUCAUAUCGGAUGUAGAUAUUAGGAUAUUAGUUAGAUAUAAAAAUUAAAAUUCGUAUCCAGUAAAAAUGAAUUUGUAUACGGAUCAGAUAUAACUAAUACCGGUAUGAAUAGAAUAUUUAUUGAAUACUAAAGUCUAAUUAAAAAAAUUGCCAAUAUGUAUUUAAGCUCUUUAAAAUUUAUACAAUAUUAGAAAUAUAUAGAAAAGAAUUAUGAAUUAUAAAAAAAUGUCGUUGAAUAUGAAGUUAGUAAGAGCGUUAAAUGUUGAAAAUAUAUUAAAACUGAUUUUGGAUUCGGAUAAUCGGCAUCCAAAUUCAAAUUCAAAAAGGAAUAGUGAAUUCAAGUCUAAAAAAAAAUAAUUUGAGAUUCAAAUCUAAAUUGAAAUCCAAGCCGUAGUGAUAUCGCAAUCUAUAUCCGAUAAUUUUCAAAUUCAGAGUCCAAUUUUAUAGAGUUUUGUGUAAUAUUAAAUGCGAAGGAUGUUUAUACAAUAUUUGGAUCGUUUAUGGACUAUACUGCAAAAUAACCCUCACGCCUUUUUCCCUCGAGAGGGUGGAGGGUAUAACGAAAACAAAAACAAAAGUAAAAACAAAACCCUAGUUCUCUUUUCGGCUCCGCCGUGCCCUAAUCUCCUCCGACCAUGGCGAAUCGUAAGCAUAAUUUUCCCAUCUUCCAAUCUCGAUUUUUGUUCAAUAAAUUCGUGAACGGAUCGAUCUAUCAUAUAGAUCUCAGAGGAUUUGCUUCUUCUCCCUCUUUUUUUUUUUUUUUUUUUUUCUUUUUAAUAAUUUUUGGUUUGUGGUGCGCAGCAAUGGCGCGAUCUUUUCUUCAGGCCGUGGCUUCGGAGGAAGUGGCGUCGCCUCUGCGAGUGGUUCAGAUGGAAGGGCUUGUAAUCCCCUCAAAACCCUUUUUUUUUUAAUUUUUUUCCCUAAUUUAUUCUUAUUUUUCUGUUUUUUAAUUUGAAAAAGAUCGGACUUUGUGAGCAUGCAUGAAUAAUUCAAGUAAUUUUAUGUGUACUUUUGUUGGAGGAGCGUGGGGAAGUGCAACAAUUUAAUUUAAUGUCAUAGUUACGUAUGUGUGUAUAUGUUGAUCUUGUUAUUCAUCUAGGAUAUUGCUAUUUGGAGUAGCAAUAUAUCGGAAAUCACUCAAUAGCUUCUCCCUGCAGCGGAUUCAGAAGCUUCGAAUUGGAUCUUCUGCUUUUACGCCUUGAAAUCUCAUUUAUUCUUUUCGGACACAAUCAAGUCUCUGGGCUUUUUUGUUUGCUAAACAUUCUGCUAGCUGGUUUUCAGAACAGAUUUUCCACUCUGAGAAGUAGUAGACAUGUGUGAUGUGUUUGGCAAGCUAAAAUCCGGGGACUUCUCGGGUGGCAGGAAACUGAAAUUAGUGGAAACUCUAAUUUGAAGCUUUGUGGUGUUUCUUUGAGGCAUCGUUGGGUGAUGUCCGACUGAGAAGGGAUCGUUCGUGGUAGUAUGUUAUUAGGGACUACCUGCUUGCACAUUAUCAAAAUUUGGAUGAUAGUCCGUGCGACUAUUCUUCAUUCGUAAUUCACCAAAGAAAAUGCCUAACUUCAUGAUUUGGUCAGCUUUGCAUAGAAACUAAAUAGCUUGUUUUGUCAUCACCCUUGAAAAGUUUUGAUCCUUUAUGAUUGAUGCUAAGGUGAAAUUUGAAACGAUAGAUGAUGCUCUCAGAGGUCCCAUUCAUGUCUCUCUUAAUUUCUUUCCUUACUAUUGCUUAAUAGUUAGGAAAGCUUUUAAGAUACCUUCUUGGUUAACAUUUUUCAUGUUAUUUUUCAUUCUUGGUGCAAUGCAGACAGUUUUAAAGAUUAUUAAGCACUGCAAGGAGUUCUCCCCAUCUUUAGUUACCGGUCAACUUCUUGGCCUGGACGUUGGUAGCGUCCUUGAAGUCACCAACUGUUUUCCUUUCCCGGUAUGCAGCUUGGCUUUGUUCAAUCUCAUGAGAUCUUACGUUUUAACGUCCGUUGUUUUUUUUUUCCCCUCUUAUGUUCUCGCUUUUAUCAGUACUGGUAAUUCAUUGCAUUUAGGUCUCUUUGGUUAAUAGUUUACUUGACCGUUCUGUUACAGAUACGGGAAGAAGAUGAGGAGAUUGAGGCAGAUGGGGCAAAUUAUCAGCUUGAAAUGAUGAGAUGCUUAAGAGAGGUUAACGUAGAUAACAACACCGUUGGCUGGUAAGUUUGAACCCCAUAAUCAGCAUUUGCUGUUUAUCAUUUGGUCAAUGGUAAUUUCAUGUGCGAAUCAUUGUUGUUAUGUAUAUAAAAUGUUGAUUCAUAUUUCACAUGUAUUUUUUUUAUUGAAAUCUACCACUUAGCGGGAGUUAUAGUAGAGAGGUGAAAAAGAAAUUGUGUACACAAAACUUGCGUAUCGUAAUAUGUUUAGUUGGUUUAUAAUCUUCAAUCUUUGUCUAUUUGUACCUAAAUCAGUUAUGUUUCAACUUUGCUUACAGGUACCAGUCAACUUUGUUGGGAUCUUUCCAGACUGCUGAGCUGAUUGAAACAUUUAUGAAUUACCAGGUAAGAGGAGGAAACUAUAGUUUCCAUUUCUUCUAUUGUCAUAUAGUAAGAAGUUUUCUUGAUCGUUUCUAACUGUUUUUAUCUUCAGAAAAGUUUCUUUUCUCUUGUAUAUAUUUAUAUAUUAUUUAUAUUUACCUUAGAGGUAACGGACUAAUAAUUAUAUAGAUAGAUGCUUAGCUAUAUUUAUUUCUUGAACUUCUCAUAUUGAAACAUCAAUCUACGAAUUUUUUCUCGAGCUUUCCUUGACUAAAGAGGAUAUUCUAUAGCUAUUUGUUACUGCCUUUUCCUUUACUCUUUAAUUUCUUUAUUUAUUCCUAUUUUUCUGUUCAUUAGAUAUAGUUCAUUUCAUAUAUAGUUGGUAGUAGAGAGCUGAGUUUUUCUUUGGGUGCAUUGCUAAUAUAUUUCUAGUUAUCAGUACUGCUGUAGUGAUUUCCAACUACUUAUCGGGGCUUUGUUAUGUAGAGCAUCUCUAAUAUAUAUUAUAUGCAUCGUCAUAUAAUUUCUUUUUGUGUUUACUUGAUUUUUUUUAUUAACUUAUGGAAUAUUUUCUCCAGGAGAAUAUUCGGAGAUGUGUAUGCAUCAUAUAUGACCCAUCGAAGUCAAAUCAAGGAGUCUUAGCUCUCAAAGCUUUAAAGCUCUCUGAUUCAUUUAUGGAACUUUACCGUAGCAACAAUUUCACUGGAGAAAAGUAUGUGCAAUAUCUUGUGACAAUUUCAGUAAUUUGUGAUAAUGUACUUUUAAUAAAUAUCGUACCUAUUGUCUUUUUCUUUAGGUUGAGGGAGAAGAAAUUGGCGUGGGUUGAUAUCUUUGAAGAAAUUCCGGUACAUCUUUUCUUUCUUUUGCUUUUCUGUUUCCCUUGAGAUUACAUGUAUUUUCCUCUUGCUGAAAAGGGCAAUAACAUAUAGAUUUUAUCUUGCUACCUUCACAAGAAGGCACUUGUUUUGCUCCUGCUGGUGCUUCUGUGAUAGUGUUGUUGCAGGAGAGCUGUUCAAAGAAACACUUGUUACUUUUCAAAUUAAAUCUUUGUUAACAGCUUCCUACCAGAAGCAAAAGAUUCAAAUUAGAGCUUCUAAAUUUUGGAGCCUAGAAGCAUAUUUUAGCUUCCUUCCAUGGGAAAAGCUCCACAUUUUACUGCUUUUCGCAUUAGAGAAGCUGUUCCUGAAGCUAUGCUAAGCAAGCAGUCUAUAUGUACUUUUUGAGGGUGCACAAGUGUCUAUAAUAAUUCUCGUCUUUAAAUGUAUGCUUUUGUUUCUUUACUCUUAUUUCCUUUUUGUUCUUUCUUGAAUCAGAUUAAAGUUUCUAAUUCUGCACUUAUUAGUGCAUUCAUGACGGAGCUGGAACCUGAGUCACCUGUUUCACAGGUGUAAUACCUUUGUUCUUAUUCUUCUUCACGGGCAUAUAUUUUGACAAUUUUGUUAUAUGUUACUCCAAAUUUUACAUUUUGGUUAUUUUCAGUGUGAUUAUGACCGACUCAAUUUAUCAACUGCUCCAUACAUGGAAAGGAAUUUGGAGUUCCUGAUUGAAUGCAUGGAAGAUCUUUUGUCUGAGCAAAAUAAGGUAUUAUAUUAAUGGCAAACUUUGCCUUAGCUUCCAUGAUAUAAUCGAAUGAUGUAUUGUUAAACCGAAACUAUUUUUCGAAUAUAGUUUCAAUAUUAUUAUCGGAACCUCUCAAGGCAACAGGCGCAACAGCAAGCAUGGCUUCAGAAGCGAAGGUAAAUAAAUACACAGUUUCUGUUUUUCUGUGCAUUUACAUUAGUAUUGGAGGGUGUAAUUUGCUUAACGAUAUAUCGAGGGUGUAAUGUAAACUUGACUCCUCAAAUUAGAAGUUACCUGCAAAUAUUGAAUUUGAUUAUAGUGCAAAGAGUUGGUUUUGCAGUUUUGUGUACUAAAAGAUAUUGAAUAAUAAGAAGCUACUAUGUGGAGUGAAGUGAUAAGAAACCUAUUACGCUACUAGAUUGUGGUCAUCUACAAAUUUUGUGGGGUGCUGGUUGGGGUUGAUCAUAGAGAGAAAUGAUGUGCAUCCAUUAUUUUGUAUCUUAAGAAAAGCUUAAUGCCUAUCAAAGAUGACGACGGAAACUAGCAAUUAAUCUGAGACCAUCGCAGUUCUGAAGUGUAGUGACAACAGAGAAGGAUAAGGCUUCAAAUUUACCCCUUCAUGCACUGUAACUUUCUCCGAUCAAUCAUGAUGAGGACCAAAUAAUGCUUGUGCCAGCGAAUCACGAUAUUCGUAGUUAUCACCGUGUGAAAAGCCUCUAAAGUGCUUUAUAUUAUCUGAGAAGCCUACUAUUCUUAUGCUACCUAUAUUCUAAGUUCUAUUAUUGUUGCCUUAAAGCUCGUUAAAGCUUCUCAAUGUCCUUCCUUUUUACGAUAUCUGUUUUAUACAAUCUUGCCAUUUUGGCCUCCUAUUACCCUCAUAUAAUUAUCUUCCAUUUGACAUGUGGGAAGCAUGAAAUCCCAUUAAUCGAGUACAUUUCUCUAGCAUAAAAGACAGUCAUGUCAUUAUGUUUACUAUGAUCUUAAGUUUUUUAUUUAACCUUUUCGUUGCGAGUUCUAUAUGCUUCAUUUGUUAUUUUGGUUAGUAUUUGUAUUCACUUAUGUGGCAUCCUUCAUCUUGUAUCACAAUAGGCAAGAGAACGUGGCAAGGAAAGCUGCUGGGGAGGAGCCAUUGCCAGAAGAAGACCCAUCAAAUCCCAUCUUCAAGCCGAUUCCCGAGCCGUCACGCCUUGAUAGCUAUCUCAUUACAAAUCAAGUCGCUAAUUAUUGCAACCAAAUCAAUGGGUAUGGCCCAAAUGCUCUAUUUCCUUUUCCAACUUUUCCGUACUUGAACCUCUGAGCCAGCCUUAAAUUUUCCAAAUCAAGUGUGAUGCUUGCAUUUAUGUGUUUUGAAAAUUAAAAGGUAAGAUUACUAUCGGCAAACAUGCCAUAAUCCGGCACAGAAUAAAAAAGAUCCAAUAUAAAUCUAAUAUUCAUAUACACUGGAAUGAAGCAGACUCUAUCAAAUUUCAUUAGAAAUACAAAUAUAGUUGGGACAUGUUGUUUACUUACCGGGAGAUUGUCUGGAGAUGUGCAUCUCAAGGAUUGACUCUUCAACUGCGCAUCUUCUAAAUAAGCAUUUUCGCACGGCCUACGUUAUGCACAUGUGCGAUACUCCUGAUGGAUUAAGAAUGUCAAAUUAUGUAUUGUUUAGCUCUCUAGGAGGAACUGUAAUUGGUGUCUAUAUGUCAAUUGCCAAAUAUGUGAACUUAUCGAGGAACUAAAUAUUAACACAACGCAUUAUCAAGUCAAUUUUUGUCAUGAAUAAAUUGCGUCAUAGUAGUAUCCUAAUUUAUAACCUAGUCAACUGAAGAGCUGUUUUUAUUUUCUUUGGCACUAAUAUAUUCUAAUUGCUUCUUAUAUAUAUUUUUUAUUUUUUUUGCACUUAUUGAGUAAACGACUGGCUAAUUUCAAAGUAAAGAAGAUUUUGAGUCGUGACAUCAGCACAGAGGCCGUAUCGUGUAGACAUUUUAUAGGCACAAUACGACACUCCAGCGCACAACUUGUGCUGAUGGACAUUUAAAUCCUUGCUCCAGUUUUUCUUUCUUUCAUGUCCCUGACAGGACUACUUUGAAUUUAUCUUCUUCAUAAGCAAUUCUGCUCUCAGCUCGAUAAAUUACGCAUAUGAUGAUAUGAUGAAUCUUUGUUUAAAAUGAAAUAUUUCAGGGUCGCGGGGCAAAGUUUCAGCAGAUUAUACUUAAUGAAGGCCUUGCACGAUAACUAAUUUGCGUGAAUAUAUUGCGGCACUUCGACCUUUUUAGGCUCUGUUUCUGUAUGAAUACUUCUGUAAUUCCAUAGUAGGCAUUGUGAGUUCCUUUUCUUUUAUCUUUUUUAAUUUUCUAUGACCAUGAUGAGAAAUUUUGAUUGUGAACAAUUGCUUAGACUCUACCUUUAAAAGGUGUUUGCAGUGAAUUUUUAGUUAAAUGCAACAUAAUGGAAUUGUGAAUUCUCUUUUCAUUUUUAUUUUUUUAUUUUUAUUUUAUUUUUCCUCCUCUCCUGAAGAAGAUGUAUUCCUUGAAGCAAAAAAUUUUGGGUCUUCUUAAUAAUCUCUUCAUGAAUUAUUAGCUACAUUUUUCUGGCAGAAAUUUUCAGAAAAGGCAGGAAGAAGAAAUUGAUUCUUUAUCUCUUCAUUAAAUAUACUUUGUUUUUAAAACUAGUUUUGCCUAAAUUGUGAUCUAUGAAUCCAUGAUAUGGGUCAUGGACAUGCCCUAUAUAUUUCUAUUAUAUAUUUUUUAGAAGUUAACACAGUUUCUCUUUUGGUUGUAGAUUUAGGGCAUGUUUGGUGGUGCUGUAGAAAAUAGUGUUAGUUGCUGUAGUGCGAAGUAGCGCAGCGCUAUUGGAAGAAGCAUUAUGUAAAAUUAUAUAUAUAUUUUUUAAACUUUUAGAUCUCAUUAUUUUUACCAAAAAAAUUUCACAAGUUAUAUUGAUAUAAUUUGUGCAACAUAAAAUAGAGUUUAACACCAAUAUAUGUUUCAAACUACAGCUCAAAAUUAAAUGACUAGAUAUAUAAAUAGAAAAUUAUGCUAUUAUACUAUUAAUAGAAUUAAGCGCUUGGUGCUGUCGAGUUUUGAGUGGGUGGUUGGUUAAAUAAUAUAAUCUAACGGAUGAAAAUAAUUAAAAGGUAGAUCUAACGGCAGAAAAUACGAUAGUACUCAGAAUUUGGUACUGUCGAUAGUAUAGUAGCCCGACUCUAUAAAUAGAUAUGUGAAAAUAAACAGGAAAAAUAUAUUUUUUAAGUGAGAAAAUUAUUUUUUAUUUUUAUUUUAUUUGGGGAGUAACCAAGCAUUAAAAAGUGCCAAACCAAUAUUUAUUUACCCCUUAAAUUAUUUAUUCGGCACACUUGGCAAAAAUGUACAAUGCCACGUGGCAUAAUAUUGAGAGGUAUAGAGAUCCUUGCAAGGGGAUAAGGAUAGGGUUUGGAUACUCCUCUCACCCAAUAGGAGCCAUGAAUCCCAAACACCUAAUCUCAAAAAAAAAAAAAAAAAAAUCCAACACAUUUUUUUUUUAUAACACAAAAGGACCCAAUUUUAAAAACAAAUAUAUUUCCUAUUAUAACCCUAGGCUCCUCCACACUCCUAUACUCAAAACCCAUUGUUGCAUUAAAAAAAAAAAGAAAACAAAAAAGAAAAAAGAAAAAAAAAAAGGAAAAAAUGGCCACAGCUCCCAUGGCUAGCCAAUUGAGGAGCUCCUUCCUCUCUCCCACCACCACCACCACCACCACCUCUUCUAGGGUUUUGGUCACUCCCAGGGGCAUUUCUGGAAAUCCACUUAGGGAUCUUCACUCUAGGAGGAGGAGCUCUCUCACUGUUAGAGCUGUUGUUCCAGAGAAGGUAAGGAAUUUAGAUAUUUCAUGGCAUUAUUUUCCUCUUUUUUUUUCAUAAUAUCUUAAUUUGUUUAGAAAUUAAUGCUUUAGGGUUUGGUUAAUGUAAUUAUAAAGAUCGAUACUACAUAAUACAGUUCAAGAAAUAAUUUUAACACUCUCACUUAUACGACGUGUAUGGUGAAAAUUAGAUAAAUUAUAUUGCGUGCUCUAUUAGAAAAGAUUUGAACUUAUGAACUCUUAAAACUACAUAAUAUGGCUCGAAAAUAAUUAAUGUAAUUAUAAAGAUUAAUACCAUAAAAUAUGGCUCGGAAAUAGUUCUAACACUCUCACUUACGUGUACGGUGGAGAUCAGAUAAACUAUAUCACGUGCUUUGAUAAAAAGAUAAUAAAAUAGAUAGAAGAUUUAAAGUGCGGGGGUUUAGGUUAUGCUCUUGCACCAUAUUGCUUAAAAAAUUGAUAGAAAACGGCAUAAAAUUAGAAUUGUCAAGAGUUUAAGCCUCUUUCGUAGUGCGGUAAGAAUUUAUAUUUAAUUAUUUCUUGUAGCGAUUUUUCAUGUUUGGAUUCCUUGAAUCUGGUUAAAUUCAGUCAGUAAAUAGUUAUCAUGUGUAGUUUUUUUUUUUUUUUUUUUUUUUUUUUUUUUUUGUAUAUGAUCAUUUGAAAUAAUAGAAAAGAAUUAAUCCAUGCGGAUUAAUGACUCUAGGUAAUCAACUAAUUAUUUCUUUUUGUUGAGUUUAAAGCACUUAGACUCUUAUUCUUGCGCAAGCUAAGCUAUUAUGAUUAUGGGAAAACUUAAAAAAACCCCAUGUGGUUUCUUACUUUCUCACUUGAGUGCCCUGUGGUUUAAAGUGUAUCAAUUUGAUGCCCUGUGGUUUCAUUUUUAUCUUUUUAUUAUCAAUUUUAUUUUAUUUUUUUCUUAAAUCAGUGACAAAGUUAAAAUUAAAGAGUACUAAAGUAAAUAUUUGAUAAAUCUAGGUGAGUAUUUGAAGUUUUUUAUAUAUAAUUUAACAAAAUAUAAACGAAAAAACUAUAGAAAAGAUAAAGAUAAAGACAAAAUCACAGGGCACCAAAUUGAUACACUUUAAAUCACAGGACACUCAAGUGAGAAAAUGCAAAACCAUAGGGAGGUUUUUGAAGUUUUUCCUAUUAUUAUUAACACUAGAAGAGCACCUUUGUUUACUUAUUUAAAACUACUAGAAAAGCUUACUAUAAAAUUGUUAAUAAUUAGGAAUCUUAUUUUAAUAUUAAAAAAUUAUAUGUUUAGCAAUGGGGAUUGCCGUAUUUUUACAUUUCUUAAAGCACUUUAGUCUAGCUCCAUUUACGUAUACAAAUACAGUUAUAAAACUAUACGAAUUCUCAAGUUCUAAAUAAUACGUAGAAUCAGGUCCUUAAUGUUUAAGGAAAAAAAAAACUCGUUCUUUAGUUAUGAGUAGUGGGUGUGAUCCGUUUUUGAAUUAAUGAAGUUGGUGCGUGGAGUAAGGAUGCAGACGGGGCGGAUCCGGGGGUGGGAGAAAUUCUUCAUCUUCCGCCCCGUUUUUCUGACGAAUUGGGACGGAUUCGGAACUAGUUAUAUUUUUUGUUCCCGUUUAUCGUCCCAUUUAGAGCAGAUCGGGGUGGGAGCUUCGUCAAUCCAGAUCCAUUUACAUUCCUGGCGUGGAGCUAGGUUCUAAAUUUUUAUUUGUACUAAUAACUCAAAUAUUUAUUUAUUUUUUUGUUGUGUGUGUUGUACAGCAAACUUAUCAAGUGAUCCAGCCCAUCAAUGGAGACCCAUUCAUUGGAAGCCUUGAGACCCCAAUCACAUCGAGCCCACUCAUCGCUUGGUACCGCUAAAAUAAUGCGAAACAAUCGUUAUUCUCUAAAAAAAAAAAAAAAAAAAAAACUCAAGCCGUAGAGAAUGAUGUUUUUAUAUUUUUAUAUUUAACAGGUACCUGUCCAACCUCCCGGCCUACCGGACCGCAGUGAGCCCGCUCCUCCGCGGCGUCGAGGUCGGCCUGGCCCACGGCUACCUCUUAGUCGGCCCGUUCGUAAUAACCGGCCCGCUCCGCAACACCCCCUACGCCGGCCAGGCCGGCUCGCUCGCCGCCGCCGGACUCGUCGUCAUCCUCAGCAUCUGCCUGACAAUGUACGGCAUCGCGUCGUUCAAGGAGGGGGAGCCGUCCGUCGCCCCCUCGCUGACGCUGACCGGCCGUAAGAAGGAGGCCGACAAGCUCCAGACGGCCGAGGGCUGGGCCCAAUUCUCCGGCGGGUUCUUCUUCGGCGGCAUUUCGGGGGUUAUCUGGGCCUACUUCCUCCUCUACGUCCUCGACCUCCCCUACUACAUUAAGUAGGGGGUACUUACGUUCUCUGCGUUAUCUGCAUUUAGCUCCCUCAAAACUUUUUUUAUUAUAUUAAUUGAUCCCGCAAAAAGUUUGAAUGCAGAAAUGACCCUACGCUCUUACGCAAGAUAUUUUGCGUUUCUGCAACUCAAAUUUGUUUGGGUUCAAUUAUAAAAUGAAAUGUUUUGAGGAGCCCAAAUGCAAUAAAAAAGCAAAAAAAAAAAAAAAGGAAUUUAACUUUGUGUUCAUUGCCCUGCUUGUAUUUGUAUGUUCUUAACUUGAAGAGAAGUACUCAUGUUGGUUUGUAUAUUUGGAAUGGAGAAUUUUAAUGGGAAAUAUCAAUUUUAUGAACUAUGAAUUUAAUUGCUCAAAAGAUAAAAUAAAAUGUAGUAAUGGUGAUAUAACAUUAACUUUUGUGUUUAACUGCGAAACGAAAAAAAAAAACCUUAUCUCUCCUAAUUGAUGUUUGUUGUGUUUUUUGCCUUAUUUAGAAGUGCAUGCGAUUAUUUAAUAUAAAAAUUUAAUCGAAAGUAAUAUGAUUAUUAUUUCAAAAACAUCAUCCAUGGGGGUUCUAAAAAUUAAUGGCAGAAAAAAAAUUAUUAUUUGAUUUGUAAGAGAAAAGUCUUUUUUAAAUGCAAUAUAAUACAUCUCCAUUUAUUUGAAAACAUGCUAGCAACUAACUGUUCAGCAUUAAAUCUCUGAGUUUAUAUUUUUGUUUUAAACUAGCGGUGCAAUUCAGCUUGUGUUCCCCACGAAAUGAGUUUGAAAUCGGAUCAUUCGUUUAGUAAACAAGCCGAACGCGAAAUGAAUUUUUCAGCUCAUUUAAAUAAACGAGCCGAAUAUGAGCUAGGGUCAGCUCGUUCUUGUUCGGCCGAUAAUAGUUCGAAUACAUAUAUUUUAUAUUUAUAUAUAUAAAUAAAUAAUUAUAUAUAUAAAUACAGACUUUUAUUAUUUUAUUUUUUUAACCCAACCAAUUAUAAAAAAACUCAUUUAUAUAUAAACUCUCAACCAUUACAUCAAAAUUUAAUGGAUAAUAUCUCAUUAAUUUCUUUUCUAUAUGUAUAUUUUUUAAUCUUUUUAACUUAUUGUUCAUAAGCCAGCUCAUAUUCGGCUUCUUAAUAAACUAGCUGAAUACGAACUGAAAUUUUUAGCUCAAUAUUUUAACAAGCCAGUUUGUGUUCGGCUCAUUUGUGAUUCGAGCAGCCGACCCAGCUCGCAUUUGUUUGAUAGAUCGACACCCCUAUUUCAAAUGCUAUAAACAAAAAUAGAAGAAUUUGUUUGGUAAAUUAGAGCGACAGUUCAGGAAUUAAUUUGUGAAAUUCGUGGAACUUGAUCUCCAAAUUACUUCAAAACAAUUAAAAAUAAUUUUCGGUCCAGGAACCACGUGGUAGACCCGGUCCAUACACCGCACAACACAUCCUCAUCAAGUCCACGUAACCGUGAUAUGUAACCGUUACACCGAUUGAUUGUUUCCCUCCUAAAAGCAUCCCACACUGACAAGUCCAAAGAUGCGAUUUUUAGUUGGGUACAAAAUGUCGAAAUGUAUGGCGACCCCCUUCAACUAUUAGAUAUUUACAAAUCGCUGCAUUUUCUUUAUUUUAUUUUAAAACUCUUUGUAUUUUGAUAUGUAUGUUUAAAUUGAAUAUUAAUGUCUUUGAAAUUACAUUUUUAUAGUAAUUUUCAUUAAUCUUUAGUAAAUAAAUUGAUAAGAAUUAUUAGAUACCCCAUUAUAGUUUUUUCUUUUCGUCAGUCUUUUCGUUAACUUUUCGUUAAAUUACAUACAAAAAAUAUUAAAUAUCCCUUAUAGUUUAUCGAAUCUUUAUUUUGGUAUCAUUUAAUUUUAACUUAAUCGUUAUUUUAACGAAAAAAAAUAAUGAAGGAAAUAAAAAAAAAUAAAUAAAUAAAACGAAAGGAUACGGAAAAAAUAGCAUACUGAAGUGAGAAAACGAGAAAUUACAGGGUGGUAUUUGAAGUUUUCCCUAUAUAAAAACCAGUCCCUUUCCUCUUCUUCUCCUCUCUCUCUCUCUCUCUCUAUCUCUCUAAUGGCGUUCUCCUCUCUCCUCCUCACCACCUCCCCCACUCUCCCCCUCUCCUCCCACCGCCGCACCCUCCCAAUCCCCUCCACGCGCCCCCUAAAACCCUCCGUAAACCCUAAUUUCGCCACCAAUUCGUCGAAUCCCCGUUCGAUUGAGCCGCUCUUCGUCUCCGCUCGAGUUCGCGCGCGGGGGAGCUCGAUCGGAGAAGCCGAGGCGGAGGAGCCCUACGUCGAUGGGGGCGACGACGAGGGAGGAGCUCUCCGCGGCGAGGACUCGGCCGCGUUCGACUUGGGGGAGCAGAGGCUCGCCUCGUGGGCCUACUUCGCGGCGAUUUUGGGCGCCGUGCUCUUCGGAUUGAACGUGGUGUGGAUCGACCCCUCCACGGGGUUCGGGACCGCGUUCGUGGGCGCCGUUUCGAGCCUCUCGAGUAGCCACGAGGUGAGUCCUGUGGUAAAGGUCUCAACUUUAAGGGGAAUUUUGAUUUUUCUCAUAAUAUUAUUACUGCGUUCUACUUGAAUUUUGCAAUUUUGUAACUGUUUAAUGCAUAAAUAUUAGGAAUUUUGUAGUUUUGUUGAAUUUGAUAGAUUGGUAGUAUCGCCAUAUGAACUAUCAUAAGAUGUGUCCAGGGUGUUUUUGCGCGGCGCAAGCUUGCUAUAUGAAGAGCUUAUAUAACAAUUUUAUCAGUUUUCGCGUUAAAUAUCUGUAUAAUCUUCUCUCGACGAUUAAAACCUAAAACUUUUCUCAUGCUUCCACUUUUGUGCACCGCGCUUCUGCUUAUCGAGUAGAGAAGUUGUUUAAGAAGUGGAUGAAACAGGCAAUAAAUUGACUUUUGUUCAAUUAUUAGCAUGGACGAUGCGUGGAUGAGAUUUAUCUGCACUGGUUUUCUUCAUUUAGUUUGCGAUUUAUUGUCCGUUUAAAGUACUUAAAGAUAAAUCAGGUGAACUAACUAAAGUAGAUACACUAUAGGCGGUGAACUGGUGGAAAUAGUUGGGUCUUAAGGUAGAUAAGCCAAGAUCAAAAGGCAUAAAGGAAUUGGAAAGUUCAAUUUAUAUAAAAUACGUCAGAAUUGGUGAACAGUUGGAAUCAUCCUUUUGUGUGAUCGAUUAUUUGAAAAUUGAAAGAAAUUGGAAAAUAUUGGCUGAAGAGAAAUGAUAGAAAGUAAGUGAUCAAAUAGUGUAAGAAUACCCAACUUGAACCACAAUUCCCCAAACAUAGGAGCCAACAUGAAAAAUGAUUUAGGUGAUUGAAUCAUCAUCUUUAACUUGUGUUAAAAGCCAUAUAUUUUUGUAGCUAAAGAAAUCCAUGGUAAAUUGAGAAUGUGCUUAAAUGUGGACAAGAGAGCCAUAAGUCAAUGACUUUGGAAAGCCUUCAAAACAGGUGUCCUUUAAGAUAGAUGCGGCUGUCAGCCUGUUCAGUUUGAAAUUGUAAUGCGACAAGGGCAAGACAAGAUCAUCUCUCUCUCUCUCUCUCGCUCGCUCGCUCGCUCUCGUGCUCACUUUGUAUGUGUGUGCACAUGCUAUCCCAUCAAAGAAUGCAGUGCAAAUUGUGCAUCUUUAUUAUUAUUAUUUUAAUCUUCUUUUCUCGCUGCCUUUACUAGGCUGUGCUACCUUAAUUCUUCUCUGGUGCUGCCCUCAUAUAUAUAACUUAUUCUGAAAUUUUGUAUCUGCUUCGUAAUAUUUUCGCCAGUAUUGGACUAUCGAGUUUUGCCGGGCUUGAGAAUCUAUCUCUUUGGAGAAAUAUAUUGCCAUGUUAAGAGCACUCAUUGUGGGUUGUGGGCUUGAAAAUCCCAAUUUUACCCUCCAAGCUUCCUUUUUGUUGCUUUUUUGUCGGUUUACUGGAGGAGCUAAUUGUUAUCUUUCUAGGCAUCUAAUUCUUAUCUAGUUUAAUUAAAUUGUUUUCUUUUAGCUGAAUAAUUACUCCUGUUGCUGUUUCAUCCUCGAUGAGAUUUUGAAAGCUUACUCUUUCAAUUAUGCAGGUUGUAAUGUUGAUCCUCAUAAUCAUUUUUGCCGCUGUUCAUAGUGGUAUGGCUAGUUUCCGCGAUGCUGGCGAGAAGCUUAUUGGAGAGCGGGCUUACCGUGUUCUAUUUGCAGGAAUCUCCCUUCCCCUAGCAGUCAGCACUAUUGUGAGUUCUCGAGCAUCUUUUUUCUUCUCACUCGCUCUAGAAUCUUUCAUGCUAAAUUGCCUCCUAAACCUGAUUUCAGUUAAAUCCUUAGUGUGACACCCCAAUAGUUCCAUAUCGGAUAAUAUGAGAGCGUGUAACGUGCUUAUAUACGACUGGCACGCUAGAACUAAUAACCGGGCUUAAGCAUUUUGGACUAGUGAUUUUGACCCACGAGUUAUUAGUACUAGUGGGCUGGGUAGUUGCACUUAAGAGUUCAAUUUUAACUGCCCAGUUCCUGAAGUUUGUUCCAUCCAGCAAUUAGGUAAUAAUUAGGCUGUUCAUUCACCAGGCUCGACAUUAAAUACCACUAUAUCCACUACGUCCAACAAUUAUGCUGAGGUGUUGUCUUUUUCCAGGCACUGCUUUAACAAGAGAAUUUAAUUGUUACACCAAACAAACUUUAGGGGCUAAAUUGUUGAAUUUGAACCUCUAAGGACUUAAAUCAGGGUUAAAUUUCAAGGACCAAAAAUCAAACUUUUAAUUGAACUUUUCUAUAUAUUUUCUCGGUUAUUAAUUUUGGCUAGUGUUAUAGGUUUACUUCAUCAAUCACCGAUAUGAUGGUACCCAACUAUGGCAAGUCCAGAGUGUCCCCGGCAUCCACGAGCUUGUGUGGGUCUCCUCAUUCAUCUCAUUCUAUUUCUUAUACCCAUCCACAUUCAAUCUUUUAGAAGUUGCGGCAGUUGAUAAGCCUAAGCUGCACAUGUGGGAAACUGGAAUAAUGAGAAUCACCAGACACCCUCAGGUAUAUGGUACUCCUCAAUAUAUUCCCUUUGUUGGCAUGGUUGCUUAUCAUAGAAUAAUCUCAAGAAAGGGUGAAAAGUUUGUGGUAGUUUCUGAACUUUCGGCGAAUUGCAAUUUCGUCCCAAUUCAUUCGCUUAAAAUAGAUUUUGUCCCUUAAUAUCCGAUAUUUUACGUGAAAGCUUUCUCGAAAGUCUAGGUACUAUCCAUACAUUUUAGCUCCUCAAAAAUUGAGUCUAAGACUUACCGAUUGAGCAAUUUGGGUGCGAUUGCCAAUAAUUAGCAUAAAAGUUUGUUUUUUUUUAAUAUAUAUAUAUUUUUUGCUCUUAAUGCAGAUGGUAGGUCAGGUAAUCUGGUGCUUAGCUCACACUCUUUGGAUUGGCAAUUCUGUAGCAGUUGCUGCCUCUGUUGGCUUAAUAGCUCAUCAUCUGUUUGGAGUUUGGAAUGGCGAUAGGAGACUCGCUUCGCGGUAUGGUGAAGCUUUUGAAGUUGUAAAGAGCAGAACCAGUGUAAUUCCUUUUGCAGCAAUCCUUGAUGGCCGUCAAAGAUUGCCCAAAAAUUAUUACAAGGAAUUUAUUAGGCUACCUUAUCUUACAAUCACAAUUUUGACCCUCGGUGCCUACUUUGCACAUCCGUUGAUGCAAUCAUCGAGCUACGGUCUUCACUGGUAGUAAUACUGUAUGUCAAUAGAUCUACUUGUUCGACAAAGACAUGAAAAUCAUAUAAAAUCAAAUUGAAUUGUUGCUUUGCUAAACUGAGCAGAAUAACUGUUGCACACGGGAUUUCUCUUUACAAUUUUUGGCAGGCUCUUGUUUGGUAAAUGAGGAGAAACAAAAGAAGAGAGAAAUGUAGGUGAAAAUAAGAAUCUUUUAAAGAUCCUUUUGUCGAUGCAGAAGAUGCUUCUGAUAUUGUUGGAGCCUGAUCUUUUGGUGGCAGUUGAAACGGAGCAGCUGCUUCUUUAUAUCCACUCUCAUCCUCGAACUGCGAAGAAUCAUAAUUCUCAAGCCAAGCCUCGGAUGCUGCAAUAAAAGUCAGAUCAGUCUUCGUACAGAGAUUCAACAGUAAGAAAAAAAAACUUCCACUUUCUAUUAUGGAUUUAGAAAAAUUUCUAGAGUUUACCGGAACUAUUGCUCAUUUUGAUAUAGGUACUCAAACUUUAAAAGUUUUGAUUUUGAUAUCUAGUAUUAGAGUGUGUUUGAUUUAAGUACCUCUCAAGUAGAAUAUAACAGUGUUUGCAACAUUUUUGACAGAAUAUUCUGUAACAGUACAGAGAGUUUGAUAAACUUUUCUUUAAGAAAACAUUCAGUUCAGUUCCCGACAAUUUGAUGGAACUUUUCAAAAUUGAAAGUAAGUAGUCAAAUCGAAAUUUUGAAAGUUCAGGUUCCCAUUUUAAAAUGUGCUAUAGUUUUGGAAAGUUCUAUACAUUUUCAUCUAUGAAUUUGUCUACAAUGUUUACCUUUUCUUGACACUGUACUAUUCGAGUCGUCGAAGCUGAUCGGCCAGAGGAAAUAACCCAGCAGUCUAUACUUCAAAGCGAACUCUAUCUUCUCCUCAACCACGGUAUGGUCGUCGAAGCUGACCCAAACCCCGCCCGAGUAAAAAUAAGCAGAAACCGUUGAGUUAUCGUAUUGAGAAACUGUGGUGGGGUCUCUUAACAGUUGUUCAAUCUCGAAAUAUGCCAUCGAACCGGUCCGGUUGCUGAUCCGCUGCUUCGGCCCCCCGGCCACCACUGGUGAGUUGAUUCCAUUCUUCGCUUUGUUCUUUAAGAACCAAGAUUUUCCGUAUAAGGGAAUGCCCAAAACUAGCUUACAUGAAGGAAUCCCUGCAUCUAGCUAAGAAAUGUUCCCAUAGCUUGCUGAGAAGUGUGAGACCUUAUCGUAAAGUUGUGCAUAAAAAAUAGUGACAUUGCUAUUCUUGUGGAAGCCAAAUGAGACUGCAUUUAUCCAAUCUAGGUUGCUUGAGAUCGCGUCUAUUGGGUAGUCGAGAUCGUCGGACGGCCCGUCGAAUAUGUGGUUCGAGAAGUAAACCGUGGCGGUUAAAAGGAGCGGGGGCCGCGACGAGCGCUUGGCUUCGUCUUCGAUUUGAGCUCUCCAUUCUGCGAUCAAGAUUCCAAGGUUGGUCAGGUCGGCAGGGGAGGCGGGGAACUGCCACGCGAAAUCGAGGCCGUCGAACGCGUUGGCGCGGGCGAGGCCGAUCGCGGAGUCGAUGAAUGCUGACCGACAGACCGGAUCGGCGGCCAUCGCAGAAAACGCGACGUUCGAUGACUUGGAGUUUUGAUCAUCAGUGGAAAUGGACAGAAGGAUUUUGAGAGAUGGGUUUGUGGAUUUGAGGGUGGAGGAGAAUGUAGCUAAGAGUGGGACCUGGUCAGGUGGGGGAAGGGAUGUAAUGAGGAGCCUGGUGUCAAUUGAGGUGGAGUAGUAGAGGUGAGUGUAGAGAGAGGUGUUGAUGUUGGAGAGAGGGGAGUAGUGAUUGGAGGUGGAGAGCCAAUACCCAGCUCUCACCUGAUUUGAAGAGCCUGUGCAAUUGGAUGUAGAGAGAGAAACUAGAGAGAGAGUGAGGAGAGAGAUGAAGAGUGAGGUGAGGGGAAUUUGACCCAUUUUGAGGAGUUUGAGGAUGGCAAUGGAAGUGGAGGAUCAAGAGUUUUGGUUGUGGGCAUUGUUCAGAGAGAGAGAGAGUGAGAGAGGUGGACUUUGGAGAGCACUAAGGGCAAGUUGAAAAGGGGUGGUGCUUUGUUUGGAUUGGAUCAUUACUUUUAAAAAGAUGGGCUCACAUCUCUUAACCCCAUUAAUAGAAAAAGCUUUUUUGAGUGCUUCUCAUUUGGAGUGGGAGUUGAGGAUCAGUGGAUCUGGAAAAGGUAAAAGUCAUGACAGGCUGGUUCUUAUAUUACAUAUUCAGUUAUAUUGGUAUUGCCUCUGAACACAGCCCAAAUUAAUUCUCACUGUCUCCUAACUGAAACAUGGUUCAUGUGCUCACUGCUUCCCCCUUUCUCUCUCUCUUUCUCUCUCUCUCUCUCUCUCUCUCUCUCUCUCUCUCACAGUAGCUGAAAUAAAUUUUUGAAUCUUAAGUCUGGUCUUGCUCUCUCUCAAAGAGCAAUCAUUUAUGGUAGGGUGUUUGGUGAUAUAAGAAUUCGAACUUUCUAGUAUAAUAGAACUCCGCUUAUAACUUAUCAUUUUGCUGUAGUGUGAGUUCACUUUAAGUCUCAGAUGACGGAAACAUCAUAGUGGCCAAAGUUGAUAGUUCUGUUUUCAUAGUUUUAUUCUAACAGCACUUCUCCAAACUUUACUUGGAGGAAUGAGUCGCCGUGAAAGAGACAAAGAGGUAUGUUUCCUUAAGAAUGGUGCUAUAAACACAAUUUAAUUAGUCGCCGUUACUAAGCAUUUGGCAUUAGGUGAAUGUCACAGCUUGUUUAGGCACAUUAUUAAUAAUUUAUUCCAGUGGACCAUUUUUCAAUUCCAUGGCCUCAACUGCCUCACUCAUAUUUUGCAUCAGCACAAGCUGACCUACAAGGCUACAGCCCAUGUGAUGUAAAGUACAAAGCUGGUAGCAAAAGCAUAGAAGGGUGAGUGUCUUUUGUGUGAGGGAACUAUUAUACAGAGAACUUUUCUGGACACUGGCCAUGGAUCAAAGUUUUAAGUGCUUUUUUUUCUGCUUCUGAAUAACUUUUCUACUAACUGAAUUUAGUUUGGAGUAGAAAGGACGGGUGAGGUCUCAGGUUUCAAUCCAUAGGAAAACUCAGGAUUAUGCACAGGAACCAAGCAAAACUCAGGAUUCAGGUGUGGAGAGAGAGAGAGAGAGAGAGAGAGAGAGAGAGAGAGAGAGAGAGAGAGAGUAGUUUCUCUACUUGAAGAAGCAGUAGUAGAACUACUAGAGGGAGAGAGAAUAGCUUGUCUAUUUGAAGAACCAAUAANAAUUUAUUUUUCUAAAAAAAUAGACAAAGUGGGUAUCACGCUACUUUUUUCUCUUUAAAAAAAAAGUGUCCCAAAAAAAAAAGGGCAAAAACUUCAAAUACCACUCUUGUAGUUUUAUACUUUCUCACUUUAGUAUUAUGUGGUUUAAAGUGUAUCAAUAUAGUGCCAUGUGGUUUUAUUUUUAUCUUUUUAUUAUCGAUUUUACUAAUGUCUUUUUGUUAAAUCAGUGAUAAAGUUAAAAUUAAAGGGUACUAAAGUGAAUAUUUGAUAAAUUUAGGUAGGGUAUCUGAAAUUUUUAUAUAUAAUUUAACGAAAUAUUAAGGGAGAAGCUGAGAACCAAUGGUGUAAGAUUUAUGCGUUGCAUGUGAUAAAGGGCCGAUCGGACGGUGCAUCAUUGCUUUAAGAAUUGUAUAUUUUAUUUUAUAUGAUAAAUUAUUAUUAGACUAUCUCUUCGUGGUGAAGCUUUCUAUCUCAUUUUUAUUCGAAUAAUUUAUCCGAAGAGAGAAAAAAAAGCUAAAAGAUAGAAAUUAUUUUUUUGGAAAUGUCUGCUUUCUUUUUUCUUUUUUCUUUUUUUUUUUUUACUUUCUUACUUUUAAAAAUAUUUUAUUUUAAAAAAUUACAACUUUAAUGAAGAGGAUCGACUAAAUGACCACAUUAUCCUUACUUAUUCUGUAAGAAUAAUUUGGUCAAAUUAAUCAUAGCCCUGCUACACCGUCACAUCAGCGACAAUAUUCUAAAUUAGACCGUGAGACUUAAUUAAUUAUUACCACACUAUUAGUCGCGGUACUGCUAUCACCGUCACAUCAGCGGCAAUAUCAUUAUUGAGUUAACUAUGACAAUAUCAUUAUUGAGUUAACUAAAUUAGAUUAUGAAACUUAAUUCGCAUUAGCGACAACACCACUAUAGAGUCAAUUAAAUUAUAUUGUGAGACAAUUAAUUAUUACCGCACCAUUAAUCUUAGCAUAGCUAUCACCGCAACAUAAGCCAUAACAUCAGUAUUGAGUCAAUUAAAUUAGACUAUGAGACUUAAUUAAUUAUUAUCACGUCAUUAAUCAUAACACUGUUAGCACCGCCACGUCAGCGAUAAUAUCUAUAUUAAGGUUUCGUUUGGAAUUGCGGGGAGAUUGCUGUUUGUUUCAGUACGUAAUAUUGCAUAUUACUGUUAGUCGGUUACGAUAUAUUUUCUACGGUUCCAUUGGAGAACACAGAAGUAUAUUUCUAUGCUUUUUCUCAAUUUUAUUUUAUCUAACAGCGUUAAAUAAACCUCAAUACCAAACUAAGCCUAACUCAACUAAAUUAGAUGUGACACUUAACUAAUUAUUACUAU
rnacentral:lncRNA from 1 species